rnacentral:rRNA from 1 species
CGAUUCUGGCUCAGGAUGAACGCUAGCUACAGGCUUAACACAUGCAAGUCGUGGGGCAGCAUAUAGAUAGCUUGCUAUUUAUGAUGGCGACCGGCGCACGGGUGAGUAACGCGUAUCCAACCUUCCCCAUAGUAGGGUAUAGCCCGGCGAAAGUCGGAUUAAUCCCCUAUGUUGUUUGAAGCGGACAUCUAAUUCAAACCAAAGAUUCAUCGCUAUGGGAUGGGGAUGCGUCUGAUUAGGUUGCAGGCGGGGUAACGGCCCACCUGGCCGACGAUCAGUAGGGGUUCUGAGAGGAAGGUCCCCCACACUGGUACUGAGACACGGACCAGACUCCUACGGGAGGCAGCAGUGAGGAAUAUUGGUCAAUGGGCGCGAGCCUGAACCAGCCAAGUAGCGUGCCAGGAUGACCGGCCCGUACGGGUUAGUAAACUGUCUUUUAUGCGGGGAUAAAGUGCGGCACGUGUGCCGUUUUGCAGGUACCGCAUGAAUAAGGACCGGCUAAUUCCGUGCCAGCCGCUGC